GAGUUUGAUCCUGGCUCAGAAUGAACGCUGGCGGCAUGCCUAACACAUGCAAGUCGAACGAAGGCUUCGGCCUUAGUGGCGCACGGGUGCGUAACGCGUGGGAAUCUGCCCUCAGGUUCGGAAUAACAGCGAGAAAUUGCUGCUAAUGCCGGAUGAUAUCGCGAGAUCAAAGAUUUAUCGCCUGAGGAUGAGCCCGCGUAGGAUUAGCUAGUUGGUGUGGUAAAGGCGCACCAAGGCGACGAUCCUUAGCUGGUCUGAGAGGAUGAUCAGCCACACUGGGACUGAGACACGGCCCAGACUCCUACGGGAGGCAGCAGUGGGGAAUAUUGGACAAUGGGCGAAAGCCUGAUCCAGCAAUGCCGCGUGAGUGAUGAAGGCCUUAGGGUUGUAAAGCUCUUUUACCCGGGAUGAUAAUGACAGUACCGGGAGAAUAAGCUCCGGCUAACUCCGUGCCAGCAGCCGCGGUAAUACGGAGGGAGCUAGCGUUAUUCGGAAUUACUGGGCGUAAAGCGCACGUAGGCGGCUUUGUAAGUUAGAGGUGAAAGCCCUGGAGCUCAAAUUCCAGAAAUUGCCUUUAAGACUGCAUUCGUUGAAUCCAGGAG
rnacentral:rRNA from 1 species